rnacentral:rRNA from 1 species
GACGAACGCUGGCGGCGUGCUUAACACAUGCAAGUCGAACGAUGAAGCCUAGCUUGCUAGGUGGAUUAGUGGCGAACGGGUGAGUAAUACGUGAGUGACCUACCUUUGACUCUGGGAUAAGCCUGGGAAACUGGGUCUAAUACCGGAUACGACCAAUCUCCGCAUGGGGUGUUGGUGGAAAGCGUUAUGGAGUGGUUUUAGAUGGGCUCACGGCCUAUCAGCUUGUUGGUGAGGUAAUGGCUUACCAAGGCGACGACGGGUAGCCGGCCUGAGAGGGUGACCGGCCACACUGGGACUGAGACACGGCCCAGACUCCUACGGGAGGCAGCAGUGGGGAAUAUUGCACAAUGGGCGCAAGCCUGAUGCAGCGACGCCGCGUGAGGGAUGACGGCCUUCGGGUUGUAAACCUCUGUUAGCAUCGAAGAAGCGAAAGUGACGGUAGGUGCAGAGAAAGCGCCGGCUAACUACGUGCCAGCAGCCGCGGUAAUACGUAGGGCGCGAGCGUUGUCCGGAAUUAUUGGGCGUAAAGAGCUUGUAGGCGGUUGGUCGCGUCUGCUGUGAAGGCUGGGGCUUAACCCUGGUUUUGCAGUGGGUACGGGCUAACUAGAGUGCAGUAGGGGAGACUGGAAUUCCUGGUGUAGCGGUGGAAUGCGCAGAUAUCAGGAGGAACACCGAUGGCGAAGGCAGGUCUCUGGGCUGUAACUGACGCUGAGAAGCGAAAGCAUGGGGAGCGAACAGGAUUAGAUACCCUGGUAGUCCAUGCCGUAAACGUUGGGCGCUAGGUGUGGGGGACAUUCCACGUUUUCCGCGCCGUAGCUAACGCAUUAAGUGCCCCGCCUGAGGAGUACGGCCGCAAGGCUAAAACUCAAAGAAAUUGACGGGGGCCCGCACAAGCGGCGGAGCAUGCGGAUUAAUUCGAUGCAACGCGAAGAACCUUACCAAGGCUUGACAUAUACUGGACUGCGUCAGAGAUGGCGUUUCCCUUCGGGGCUGGUAUACAGGUGGUGCAUGGUUGUCGUCAGCUCGUGUCGUGAGAUGUUGGGUUAAGUCCCGCAACGAGCGCGACCCUCGUUCUAUGUUGCCAGCACGUGAUGGUGGGGACUCAUAGGAGACUGCCGGGGUCAACUCGGAGGAAGGUGGGGAUGACGUCAAAUCAUCAUGCCCCUUAUGUCUUGGGCUUCACGCAUGCUACAAUGGCCGGUACAGAGGGUUGCGAUACUGUGAGGUGGAGCUAAUCCCUAAAAGCCGGUCUCAGUUCGGAUUGGGGUCUGCAACUCGACCCCAUGAAGUCGGAGUCGCUAGUAAUCGCAGAUCAGCAACGCUGCGGUGAAUACGUUCCCGGGCCU